GUGUACUUAGCUCAGUGGUUAGAGUGUCCAACUAGUGUUUGGAGGUUGCGGGUUCAAAUCCUGCAGUGUGCA
rnacentral:tRNA from 1 species